rnacentral:rRNA from 1 species
GACGAACGCUGGCGGCGUGCUUAACACAUGCAAGUCGAACGGAAAGGCCCUGCUUUUGUGGGGUGCUCGAGUGACGAACGGGUGAGUAACACGUGAGUAACCUGCCCUUGACUUUGGGAUAACUUCAGGAAACUGGGGCUAAUACCGGAUAGGAGCUCCUGCUGCAUGGUGGGGGUUGGAAAGUUUCGGCGGUUGGGGAUGGACUCGCGGCUUAUCAGCUUGUUGGUGGGGUAGUGGCUUACCAAGGCUUUGACGGGUAGCCGGCCUGCGAGGGUGACCGGGCACAUUGGGCCUGAGAUAGGGCCCAGACUCCUACGGGAGGCAACAGUGGGGAAUAUUGCACAAUGGGCUGAAGCCUGAUGCAGCCACGCCGCGUGCGGGAUGACGGCAUUCGGGUUGUAAACCGCUUUCGCCUGUGACGAAGCGUGAGUGACGGUAAUGGGUAAAGAAGCACCGGCUAACUACGUG